CUCAGCUUCAGGACACCCACACUGCUUUUUCUGCCACCUUGAGCUGGGAUCCGACUGGGAAGUGCCUUCUACAUUUGUUCGAUACGUGGAUGUGGAAUUCAACAUGCCAGCCACAACAGCAUCACAUGCUUCUGUCAGAUCUAUCUCAGUGCAGGACAGACCUGAAGUGAAGAGAUGGCUGAACUACAGUGCACACUACAGCUAUAAGGUGGAAAUUGAACAGAAGCUCCAAAAACUGUAUGCUGGUCCAGACGAACAAAGCAACCAGGGGAAUCAGUGUUCAGUGCAGUGAAUGCAUCAUCAAAGUCAAAAUGGUAGAAAGCUGGUAUGCUCCAACUCAAUAUCAGCUUUGGAUUUCUUUUUAAAGGUGGAUAUCAUUUGUUUCAUGUGAUGCACUUCAUGGACGUCUAAGCAAGUUCGCAAUUAAAUGAGUAAAAUGGAAUGUGCUUCUGAAUGUUUUAUCCUACAACUUAAAUGUUAACAUUUGAAAGUAUUUAUGAGUGCAAGAUAGUGAUCUUUAAUUUCAUUCUGAUACUAGAUAAGUGAUGCCACAGGAAUUGUACAUUUCCACAGUCAUUUUGUACAGAUGAGACAAUGUUCUCAUUGUGGAACAAAUAACACAGGGUGUUGUAAUAUGCACUAGGCAUCACUGAUUGAUGUGCAUGUCAUGUAUUUACUAGUGCUGCCUGCUGUGAAUGCAAUGCAGUGAGUAGCAUCACCUGAUCUGCAUGUAGUAGGUGGCAUUCUCUGAUUGGAUAACAUGCUGUGGGCAGCACUGCCUGAUGUGUAUGUUGUGCAUACCCUAUAUACUUAUUAUGUUGUGUCAUCACCAGAUGUGCAUGUUAUGGUGUGGGCAGUAUUACCUGAUGUACACGUCAUAUAAGUGAGUGCAUGUCAUUCUAUGUGGAAUAUCACAAUGUCUAUUUUAUAUCAUGUACUGAAUAAAGUUUUCUGGUCUGUAUGUCAUGUGAUGAGUUUAUCCACUGGUAUGCAUGCCAUUUAGUAAAAGUCAUCACCUAAUGUUCAUGUCAUGUGAUACACUGGCUGCCUUAUGUACAUGUCAAUUACUAGGUAGUAUUUCCUAAUGUGUUAGGUGAUAUAGAUGAUGUACAUUUCAAUAUGUCAAUUUCAUGUUUUCUAUAUCUUUGUUUCUACUGUGACACCUAAUAAAGCAGAAUAUUUUAGAGAA